rnacentral:rRNA from 1 species
AUACGGAGGGUGCAAGCGUUACUCGGAAUCACUGGGCGUAAAGGAUGCGUAGGCUGUAAUAUAAGUCAGAAGUGAAAUCCAACGGCUUAACCGUUGAACUGCUUUUGAAACUGUUUUACUAGAAUAUGGGAGAGGUAGAUGGAAUUGGUGGUGUAGGGGUAAAAUCCGUAGAUAUCACCAGGAAUACCGAUUGCGAAGGCGAUCUACUGGAACAUUAUUGACGCUGAGAUGCGAAAGCGUGGGGAGC